rnacentral:rRNA from 1 species
GAUCAUGGCUCAGGAUGAACGCUAGCUACAGGCUUAACACAUGCAAGUCGCGGGGCAGCAUGUAUCUGGCUUGCCAGAUACGAUGGCGACCGGCGCACGGGUGAGUAACGCGUAUCCAACCUGCCCAUAACCACGGCACAGCCCGUCGAAAGGCGGAUUAAUGCCGUAUGAGGUUCCAGAGUAGCAUUAUGGUGGAACGAAAGGAUUGGCGGUUAUGGAUGGGGAUGCGUCCGAUUAGCUUGUUGGCGGGGUAACGGCCCACCAAGGCGACGAUCGGUAGGGGUUCUGAGAGGAAGGUCCCCCACACUGGAACUGAGACACGGUCCAGACUCCUACGGGAGGCAGCAGUGAGGAAUAUUGGUCAAUGGGCGGAAGCCUGAACCAGCCAAGUAGCGUGCAGGACGACGGCCCUAUGGGUUGUAAACUGCUUUUUCGCGGGAAUAAAGAGGGGGAUGCGUCCCCCGUUGCAGGUACCGCGUGAAUAAGGACCGGCUAAUUCCGUG